GGAGAGGUGACCGAGUGGCUUAAGGUGCACGCUUGGAAAGCGUGUGUGCUGUUUGAAGCGGUACCGGGGGUUCGAAUCCCUUCCUCUCCG
rnacentral:tRNA from 1 species